rnacentral:sRNA from 1 species
CACACUGCAUGCCCUACUCUGGGAGGUGCUGCCCCAGCUCAGCAAGGUGUCACCACUACUAUCCCAACUCAGACCCCCUCCACCUGCACCCUCAGAGGCCCUCUUAGAACUGGGCACU